rnacentral:rRNA from 1 species
AUGCAGGCAACUAUCACAAAGAUGAUGUUACACCCGAGCGGUGAGAAUACCAAAUUCUGCACCAACGACCCUCUCUUGCCUUUUGUGCUCGCAUCGGUGGUUUUAGUAUCUCCAUUGGGUGGUGCAAAUGUUGCUGAUGAUGGCAAAUACCUGAGACCAAGAAGCAAAUUGUCGCACAUGAAUUUGAGAUUCCAAAGCAAGGGACAUGAGCGAGCAGUCGAUGGAAUUCUCCCCAGAGUGCCUCGCAUUCACCACCAUGAAGAAUGCAUUGACAGUCUUCUGAUAAGAGCUGAGCCCAUCAAACACUGA